rnacentral:rRNA from 1 species
AGCUCAAAUUUGAAAUCUGGCUCUCGGGCCCGAGUUGUAAUUUGUAGAGGAUGCUUUUGAUGCGGUGCCUUCCGAGUUCCCUGGAACGGGACGCCAUAGAGGGUGAGAGCCCCGUCUGGUUGGAUGCCAAAUCUCUGUAAAGCUCCUUCAAC